GGAGUCUGGUCCGUGUCUCAGUACCAGUGUGGGGGACCUUCCUCUCAGAACCCCUACCGAUCGUUGGCCAGGUGGGCCGUUGCCCCGCCUGCGGCCUAAUCGGACGCAUCCCCAUCCCAUAGCGGUGAACCUUUGUUCCGAAUCAGAUGUCAUCCUCGGAAUACAUAGGGUAUUAAUCCGCAUUUCUACGGGCUAUGCCCUACUAUGGGGAAGGUUGGAUACGCGUUACUCACCCGUGCGCCGGUCGCCAUCUGUCAAAGCAAGCUUCGACAAUGCCGCCCCUCGACUUGCAUGUGUUAAGCCUGUAGCUAGCGUUCAUC
rnacentral:rRNA from 1 species